AAUCUGGAUGAUUUAAUAAAUGAUUAAUGAAAAGAAUAAAGGCUUUUCACUUUAAAAGAGCAUAAAUACAUCGAGAUUUAGAGUUCUGUCGUUGAUGCCGAAGCUGUAGAAGAGUUGCAGAGAAGCGAGUUAAUACAUUUCCUACACAGAUCUUAAUUCCAGAGAGAAACAGCCCCUUGUUCAAAAAUAUUAAAAUGCUUAAUAUUUAG